CAGCAGCCGCGGGAACACGAAGGGUGCAAGCGUUAAUCGGAAUUACUGGGCGUAAAGCGUGCGUAGGCGGUUUGUUAAGUCUGCUGUGAAAUCCCCGGGCUCAACCUGGGAAUGGCAGUGGAUACUGGCAAGCUAGAGUGUGUCAGAGGAUGAUGGAAUUCCCGGUGUAGCGGUGAAAUGCGUAGAGAUCGGGAGGAACAUCGGUGGCGAAGGCGGCCAUCUGGGACAACACUGACGCUGAGGCACGAAAGCGUGGGGAGCAAACAGGAUUAGAUACCCCGGUAGUCCCUGUCUCUUAUAC
rnacentral:rRNA from 1 species